GGCAUGGCGGGCUGCACAAGGAUAUAACUAACUGUCACUGUUUCAGAUUCAGUAUCUGUCACAUCACAUUCUGUAUGCAGGAAGAGCCUAUGAAUGUGGCAACGGCCACAAGGCUGUUGAGUCUGUGCCAGCUACUUGCCAUGACUUUUUUUUAGCAAGCAUACCUUAGGAAACUGAACUUCGCUUGAAACUGAAACUACCCUCCCAAAAUCAUCUCCAAGGGUUAUUUACAGACUAAAUGAGACAGUGUAUAUCUAACAUUGCUUUGUGGAUGCUAUCAAGUGCUGGCAAAUGUGUGGGAGAAUGAAUGGAAAACUUCAUCAAUUUCUAGGAUAGUAAAUUGGUGCUGCUAUUUUGGAGAGCAAUUUGUCAGCCUUCAGGGGAAACUGAAUAUGCACAUCCUCUAAGACCCAGCAGUUUCACUUCAAAGAAAAUUUCUUAUAUGCACAGAGACUUGUACAAGGAUAUUUAUCACAGCACUGUUUGUAAUAACAAAGGGCUGGAAAUAAACCAAAUGGCCAAUGAUAAGAAUUGAUAAAUGUGGUAAAUGCCUAAAAUAGAAUGUCACACAGCAGUUAAAAAAUCAUUUAUUCACUAAUUAAGCAAAGGACAAAAAGCCUCAACAGAAAAAAAAAGACAAAAGCCUUGAAUAGUCACUUUGCCAAAUGUUCAAUACACGUACAAAAACAUGGGCAAGUUCAUUGGUUGUCAAGGAAGUUCGAAUUAAAGCCACAUUUUGCAGGUACAACACUGGCACAAGUUUAAGUCUGAUGAUACCAAGUCUUGGAGAAGGUUGAAGCUACUGGAAAACCUGCCCUCUGCUGGUGGGAGUGCAAAUUGCUCCAAGCUCUUUGGACAAUAAUUUGGCAUCCUCUAGUGAAGUUGAAGAUGUGUGUGCUUGAGACUCAGCAAUUCCCCUUUGUGACAUCAGGAUGCUCCCGCACAUAUGCUUAAGAACAUUCAUGCCAGCUUUGUUUAUAUAACAAAAACGUGGAAAUAACCCAAAUGUCUGAGGAUGGGGAAUGGACAAAUAAUGGUUCAUAGUUAUGAAAAUGAAUACACAACAGCUACAAGCAUCUACUGGAAUGAAUCUCACAUGCAUUGUGUUGUAGAAGAAUAUGUAUAAUUCCAUUUAUGUAAAGUUUAAAAGCAUGCACAACUAAAUGAUAUGUUAUUUAUGAGUAUAUGACAUAUAUGAUAAAGGCAAAGAAUAAAUAAAGUAAGGAAAGGUAAGACAAUAAGAGUUUGUGAUACUGGUUACCUAUUAUGGGGAAGGAUGUUGGGGACAGGUGGGACACCUUGGGGAUUAUCUGAUACUGGCAAUCUGACAGGUGGUAGGUCACCAGGUGUUCUUAUUAACUUCAAUACUCUAUAUAUCCUAACACUGGUAAAUCUCAAGUAUGUAAUACUGAAUGAAAAAAAAUCAAAAGUCAAAUAGUACAGUCCUAUUUGUGAAGAAAAACUAACCCACGUGAAUAAAGUAUUGUUAGGGAUGCCUCUCUAUGUAAAUAAAGCCGUACAGGGCAGCUACAUGUUAAAUUCGUUG
rnacentral:lncRNA from 1 species